rnacentral:rRNA from 1 species
AAUGAACGCUGGCGGCGUGCCUAACACAUGCAAGUCGGAUGUGCCCGCAAGGGUGCAUGGCAGACGGGUGAGUAACGCGUGGGGAAUCUACCUUUUAGUGGGGAAUAACGCUCCGAAAGGAGUGGUAAUACCGCAUGUGACCAUUGGCUGGGAUGCUGAUGGUGAAACCCUGGGACCUUCGGGCCAGGGGCUAGAAGAGGAUCCUGCGUCUGAUUAGCUUGUUGGUGGGGUAAUGGCCUACCAAGGCGACGAUCUUUAGCUGGUCUGAGAGGAUGAUCAGCCACACUGGGACUGAGACACGGCCCAGACUCCUACGGGAGGCAGCAGUGGGGAAUAUUGGACAAUGGGCGCAAGCCUGAUCCAGCAAUGCCGCGUGAGUGAUGAAGGCCUUAGGGUUGUAAAGCUCUUUUACCAGGGAUGAUAAUGACAGUACCUGGAGAAUAAGCUCCGGCUAACUCCGUGCCAGCAGC